rnacentral:rRNA from 2 species
UAGGGAAUAUUGCGCAAUGGACGAAAGUCUGACGCAGCGACGCCGCGUGAGUGAUGAAGGCCUUAGGGUCGUAAAGCUCUGUUGAAUGGGAAGAAAAAAAUGACGGUACCAUUCGAGGAAGGACCGGCUAACUUCGUGCCAGCAGCCGCGGUAAUACGAGGGGUCCUAGCGUUGUUCGGAAUCAUUGGGCGUAAAGGGUGUGUAGGUGGCCAUGUAAGUCAGGUGUGAAAGCCCCGGGCUCAACCCGGGAAGUGCACUUGAUACUGCGUGGCUUGAGUACCGAAGAGGGUAGUGGAAUUCCAGGUGUAGUGGUGAAAUACGUAGAUAUCUGGAGGAACACCGGUGGCGAAGGCGGCUACCUGGUCGAGUACUGACACUGAGACACGAAAGCAUGGGGAUCAAACAGG